UACGUAGGUGGCGAGCGUUGUCCGGAUUUACUGGGCGUAAAGGGUGCGUAGGCGGAUGUUUAAGUGGGAUGUGAAAUCCCCGGGCUUAACCUGGGGGCUGCAUUCCAAACUGGAUAUCUAGAGUGCAGGAGAGGAAAGCGGAAUUCCUAGUGUAGCGGUGAAAUGCGUAGAUAUUGGGAGGAACACCGGUGGCGAAGGCGGCCCCCUGGGCUGGUACUGACGCUGAUGCGCGAAAGCGUGGGGAGCAAACGGG
rnacentral:rRNA from 1 species